UAGGGAAUCUUCCACAAUGGACGAAAGUCUGAUGGAGCAACGCCGCGUGAGUGAAGAAGGGUUUCGGCUCGUAAAACUCUGUUGUUAAAGAAGAACAUAUCUGAGAGUAACUGUUCAGGUAUUGACGGUAUUUAACCAGAAAGCCACGGCUAACUACGUGCCCAG
rnacentral:rRNA from 1 species